rnacentral:lncRNA from 1 species
GACUAUUUAUGGUCAAAUUUAAAAAAAAAGGGUUUCAGGUCGGGUCGGGUCAGUUUUAUUUUUUGAAAUGUCAGAUUCAGGUCGGGGUCGAGUUUGUAUGAAACUCGACCCUACCCAACUUGAAAUAUUUACCAAAAUACCCUUAAUAUAUAUAUGUAAUUUUUUUUAGGGUUUUUGAAUUUUAAUUUCUUUGGGUCGCUUUGUCUAGGUCUCCUUUACUUUUAGUUGUAAGUCAUCCAUUCUGCUUCUAUCUAAAGUGAUGCUAGGCUGCUUCACACAGGUGCGCUUCGCUCGGCCACAUGAUGAACAUGUUUUGAGCUAACUGCAUGUCGAGCGCUUAAGCUCCGCUUGUGGUCACUCGUUCCUCGCUUGUUCCAAUCCUAGUAAAGAGCUUCAGAUCUGAUUUUACGCUACAUAAGAUAUUCCAUUCCGACCCUCACUAGCUCUUCGCUUAGUUCUACAAGGAGCAUGCCCGAGGGGGCUACUACGUUCACCAUGCAUUUGCAUCACCACUUGAGCUUCGCUAUCGCUUCACCCAA